CGUAAGUGCCUGACAUGCGCAUUUGCACACGAGAUUUGCAAACAAAUAGGCACGACACAGGAGCCUGGCUGAUGGAGCGUGCACCUGUGCGCUCACCCAGCUGGUCUAACGCACACGAACUAGGCUUUUCCUACGGUAAUUUUUUUUCCAAAUUUUCUUUUCUUCUCUUUUUCAAUUUUAAAUCCUUAACAAUUCUUAAAACAAAACGAAAUAAAAUAACAUA
rnacentral:lncRNA from 1 species